rnacentral:rRNA from 1 species
CACGUAGGGGGCGAGCGUUGUCCGGAAUUACUGGGCGUAAAGGGCGCGCAGGCUGUUAUGCGAGUCUGCUGUGAAAUGUACCGGCUCAACCGGUGCCUUGCGGCGGAUACUGCAUAGCUGGAGUACUGGAGAGGGAAGUGGAAUUCCCGGUGUAGCGGUGAAAUGCGUAGAUAUUAGGAGGAAUACCGAAGGCGAAGGCAGUCUUCCAAGCCGUUAUUGACGCUCAACUGCGAAGGUGUGGGUAUCAAACAGGAUUAGAUACCCGU